rnacentral:rRNA from 1 species
CUACGUGCCAGCAGCCGCGGUAAUACGUAGGGGGCAAGCGUUAUCCGGAUUUACUGGGUGUAAAGGGAGCGCAGACGGUUGCGCAAGUCUGAAGUGAAAUCCCGAGGCUUAACCACGGGACUGCUUUGGAAACUGUGCGACUUGAGUAUCGGAGGGGCAGGCGGAAUUCCUAGUGUAGCGGUGAAAUGCUUAGAUAUUAGGAAGAACACCGGUGGCGAAGGCGGCCUGCUGGACCAAAACUGACGCUGAGGCUCGAAAGCGUGGGUAGCAAACAGGAUUAGAUACCCUGGUAGUCCACGCUGUAAACGAUGAAUACUAGGUGCUGGGAGGCAUAAGCCUUUCGGUGCCGUCGCAAACGCAUUAAGUAUUCCACCUGGGGAGUACGUUCGCAAGAAUGAAACUCAAAGGAAUUGACGGGGACCCGCACAAGCGGUGGAGCAUGUGGUUUAAUUCGACGCAACGCGAAGAACCUUACCCGGUCUUGAGAUCC